rnacentral:rRNA from 1 species
CACGUAGGGUGCGAGCGUUGUCCGGAAUUAUUGGGCGUAAAGAGCUCGUAGGCGGUGUGUCGCGUCGGCCGUGAAAACCUGCAGCUUAACUGUGGGCUUGCGGUCGAUACGGGCAUCACUGGAGUUCGGCAGGGGAGACUGGAAUUCCUGGUGUAGCGGUGAAAUGCGCAGAUAUCAGGAGGGAACACCGGUGGCGAAGGCGGGUCUCUGGGCC